UACGUAGGGAGCAAGCGUUGUCCGGAAUCAUUGGGCGUAAAGCGCGCGUAGGUGGCCAUGUAAGUCCGCUGUGAAAGUCAAAGGCUCAACCUUUGGAAGCCGGUGGAUACUGCAUGGCUAGAGUACGGAAGAGGCGAGUGGAAUUCCUGGUGUAGCGGUGGAAUGCGCAGAUAUCAGGAGGAACACCAAUGGCGAAGGCAGAUCUCUGGGCCGUAACUGACGCUGAGGAGCGAAAGCAUGGGAGCGAACAGG
rnacentral:rRNA from 1 species